CCUACGGGCGGCAGCAGUAGGGAAUCUUUCACAAUGGACGAAAGCCUGAUGGAGCAACGCCGCGUGCAUGAUGAAGGCCUUCGGGUUGUAAACUGCUUUUAUAAGCGAGAAAUGUGAUGGUUACUUAUGAAUCAGGAUCGGCUAACUACGUGCUAGCAGCCACGGGCAUACGUCGGGUCCGCACAUUAUCUGGAGAGACUGGGUGUACAGAGUUGCGUAGGUGGCAUAAUAAGUAGCGAGUUAAACCUGGUGGCAUAACCAUUCAGACUAUUAGCUAAACUGUUAAGCUCGAGACCAGUAGAGGUAACUGGAAAUUCUAGUGUAGGGGUGAAAUCCGUAGAUAUAAGGAGGAACACCAAUAGCGAAGGCAGGUUACUGGGACGGUACUGACACUAAGGCACGAAAGCGUAGGGAGCAAACGGGAUUAGAUACCCGAGUAGUC
rnacentral:rRNA from 1 species